rnacentral:rRNA from 1 species
GUGGAUGCCUUGGCGUUAUCAGGCGAUGAAGGACGCAGCACGCUGCGAAAAGCUUCGGCGAGCCGCUAGCAGGCUUUGACCCGGAGGUCUCCGAAUGGGAAAACCCACCAGCACUCAAAAGCUGGUACGCGCUAGUCAAUUCAUAAGCUAGUGCGAGUCAUACGCGGAGAAGUGAAACAUCUCAGUAUCCGCAGGAAAAGAAAGCGAAGCGAUUCCGUCAGUAGUGGCGAGCGAAAGCGGAACAGCCCAAACCGGAGGGAUUUAUCCCGACGGGGUAGCGGGACCGAUUUUAGGAUUCCUAGACCUAGACGAACGGAAUGGAAAUUCCGGCCAAAAGAGGGGUGAUAGGCCCGUAGUCGAAAGGUUAAAGGAACCGUUCGGUAUCCCAAGUAGCACGAUGCACGUGAAACUUCGUGUGAAUCCGCGCCGACCACGGCGUAAGGCUAAAUACUCGAUAACGACCGACAGUGAACUAGUACCGCGAGGAAAGGUGAAAAAGCACCCCUGUUAGGGGAGUGAAACGAGUAACUGAAACUGAUUGCUACAAGUCAGUGG